rnacentral:lncRNA from 1 species
AUACAUACCAGCCUUUGAAAAAAGAGCAACAACCACCCUGAUCAUUGUCUUCUUGAUGCUCAUGGUGGACAUGAUAAACCUGCUGUGGUGGAGGAGGAGGUGGAGGAUACCCUCCUCCACUGAAAUACCCUUGAUACCCUUGACCUGGGGGUGGCGGAUGUGGUGGCCGCGGGUACGCUUCAUAGGGCGGCGGUGCAGAUGGGUAUCCUGGUGGUGGAGGAGAAGGAGGCCCACCAUACCCUUCAAAAAUAACAACCACCACAAAAUUGAAGUGCUAAAGUUUAGACGUUGAAAGUCAACAAUAAAAGUCAAAUUGAAAAUUGAAAAUAUAGCAAAAUCAAAGGCCAGAAUAUGAAAUCAAGAGGAAAAGAAGACAAGAAUUAGUGAAAUUGAAGAAGAACAAAAAAGAAAUGAAUGAAUACCUGGGGAAGGGUACUGGUGGUAUGGGCCUUGAGGGAGUCUCUGGUGACUCAUGGGAUAUUAUCUCUCUCUCUCUCUCUCUUCCCUUUUCUUCCCUGAGAAAGUGCUAGACGUAGGAGAACCAGCGGUAAUUGCCACCGGCGAGUAGUUACAGGUGCGAACUGAAUUUAAUUAUUUAUCUCGGCUGUCUGUAGCCGCUUACGUCGGUGGUAAUGAGAUCAAAUUAACACCUUAUUAUAAUAAUUACAGAAAAUUUAAUUUUAUUAAUAACAAGUUGGAUCUUAUUAUACAUGUGAUUCUCUUAGCUAGCUUCUCCCGUACUCUUCUUUUCUUUUCUUCUUCUCCUUCCUUCUUUCUAUCUCUUU